rnacentral:rRNA from 1 species
CGCGUAGGCGGGAUGGCAAGUCGGUCGUGAAAGCCUUCGGCUCAACCGAAGAACGUCGGCCGAUACUGCCGUUCUUGAGGGAUGCAGAGGAGACUGGAAUUCCCGGUGUAGCGGUGAAAUGUGUAGAGAUCGGGAGGAACACCGGUGGCGAAGGCGGGUCUCUGGGCAUCUCCUGACGCUGAGGCGCGAAAGCGUGGGGAGCAAACGGGAUUAGAUACCCCGGUAGUCCACGCUGUAAACGAUGACGACUAGGUGUGGGGGGUUAGUCCCUUCCGUGCCGCAGCUAACGCAUUAAGUCGUCCGCCUGGGGAGUACGGCCGCAAGGUUGAA